rnacentral:siRNA from 1 species
GUGCAGUGAUGAUGGGUAUA